rnacentral:rRNA from 1 species
UACGUAGGGGGCAAGCGUCAUCCGGAUUUACUGGGUGUAAAGGGAGCGUAGACGGCCAGACAAGUCUGAAGUGAAAAUCCAGCGCUUAACGUUGGAAGUGCUUUGGAAACUGCCGGGCUAGAGUGCAGGAGGGGCAGGCGGAAUUCCUAGUGUAGCGGUGAAAUGCGUAGAUAUUAGGAGGAACACCAGUGGCGAAGGCGGCCUGCUGGACUGCAACUGACGUUGAGGCUCGAAGGCGUGGGGAGCAAACAGG